GCUAUUGGAAAUGUAAGGAAGAAUAUAAAUGUUUCUUCUAUCAAUAUCAUUGGCGCGGUGGUUGUUCCUUGUUUAUGUCGUACGGGGAUGUGGUCAAUCUGGACGAAAAUGAAUAUCACGAUAGCACUUUAUCCUGUAGAGAUAGAAGUAGCUGUAAUACUUAUUUAGAAGAUUUCAACUUUCCUGUGCAAGCGAACAAUCACACGGAGUGUUUUAUGACCUGCCUCCAUACGAAGAGAUGUUGGAGCUAUGUCUACGACCCAUCUGAUGUUUCUUGUCUGAUCCGGACCAAAGGCGGACGUAGCAGUGACAUUGAUUAUACUUAUGACCGUAGGUUUUGGUCACACGUCGUUUGUAAUUUGUAAUUAGUGUUUCUUUUAGAGCAGGGGUCUCCAAACUACGGCCCGCGGGCCGGAUGCGGCCCGCGAAGUCCUCUCAUCCGGCCCGCGGAGAUAUUUUUGUCCUAGGAAAAAUCGUUUGUUGGUGAUGGCUGAGGAACUUUGCCUAGAAAAAUCAAAGACAUGCCUGGAAGAAACUGGCCCCCGAACUGAAAUUUGAUAGUUAAUGCGGCCCUCGGACUGAAAAGUUUGGAGACUCCUGUUUUAGAGGAGCAAUGAUUUUAUUUUAUCUCUAUUAAAAUAUAUACCUUUACUGGGUUCUCCACUCAACACCCCCCUCCCACUCACCCGGAAUUUUAAUUGACACCCAUACCGAGAAAAAUAACUAGUUGUAAAACUUGUUUAUAAAAAAGUUACAUUCAUCACAUUUUUUAAAUCAGUAGAUUCAUAAAAUUUACAACAAUUUUUAAAACUACAUUUUAGAUUAGUAUCUUGAAAUGUUUUCAAAUUUUUUCAAGUGUUUUUUUUUUUUAUUUUGGCUUGUGUAGUAAAAAUAUUUAAAAAAAUUGUUGGCAUAUUUUUUAUGAAUGUAAUAAAAGCAACUUUAAAUUUGAUAUAUUAUAACAAAUACACAACGAAUAUAUAUGCAUGAGUUUGAAUAUGGAUAAGAACAAUAAUCACACUUAUAUGGAUGUACUACUCUGUUAGGAAAAUCUGUGAACAAUUAAUUUUCCACCAACAAUCGCAAUUUUUGGGGAUUUCAUCAUGUUUUGGGUCUAGUUGAAAUCCUAUAUAAAUGGUUUGAUUUUAUCAUAAUCGUGUAUUUAAUAUUUCUUCUGUUUUCCGGUUUAUUUUCGUAAAUUAGAAACUCACUUUGCAAAUAUUUCGGUCAUUGUUGGGUUAAUUUGCAGUCUACUGAUUUGAGUUUUACCCCUCUGUAUAAACAACUGCUUCCAAAAGAUUGC